UACGAAGGGGGCUAGCGUUGUUCGGAAUUACUGGGCGUAAAGGGCGCGUAGGCGGCGUGUCAAGUCAGGCGUGAAAGCCCCGGGCUCAACCUGGGAACCGCGCUUGAGACUGGCAUGCUCGAGUUCGGGAGAGGAUGGUGGAAUUCCCAGUGUAGAGGUGAAAUUCGUAGAUAUGGGGAGGAACACCGGUGGCGAAGGCGGCCAUCUGGACGGAUACUGACGCUGAGACGCGAAAGCGUGGGUAGCAAACAGG
rnacentral:rRNA from 1 species